rnacentral:rRNA from 1 species
AACGCGAAGAACCUUACCAGGGCUUGACAUCCCUUGAUCGGUGCAGAAAUGCAUCCUCCAUAGCAAUAUGGCAGGGUGACAGGUGCUGCAUGGCUGUCGUCAGCUCGUGUCGUGAGAUGUUGGGUUAAGUCCCGCAACGAGCGCAACCCUCGUGGUUUGUUGCCCCCGGAUUUAUCCGAGCACUCAAACCAUACUGCCCAGAUUAACUGGGAGGAAGGCGAGGAUGACGUCAAGUCAGUAUGGCCCUUACAUCCAGGGCUGCACACGUACUACAAUGCCCAACACAAAUAGACCCUAAUCCGCGAGGAGGAGGAAAUCUCAAAAAAUUGGGCUCAGUUCAGAUUGCAGGCUGCAACUCGCCUGCAUGAAGUAGGAAUCGCUAGUAAUGAUGCAUCAGCUACGGCAUCGUGAAUACGUUCCCGGGCCUUGUACACACCGGAGUA